CUCUAAUUUUUUGUGAGAGUCACAUUUGACUCCUUCCCAAAGCUACCCUCCAAGCUCCAAAUCUUUCUACAGUAUGUGUGAUUUCUAAAUUAAUUUACCAAAGUUAAGGACAGUAAGAGUCUGUAAUAACGUACCAACUAACGAAAACUUCCUCUUACAGUUUCUUCAGUGUUUGCCCCAAUAGGUGUCUUCUGCAAGGAUUAUCUUAAAAUCUAUUUGACUCAGAGUCUAGGAUUUUACCAGCCUUCCAUGGCCAACACCUUUAGCUCCAGAAUCAAGACAGCAAGCAGAUGGGCAGAGGAGCCCAGGGCUCCAGCCUGUUUGAGGAGGCAAGAGCAAGGGCAAAGGACACACCACGGAGACACACCACAGGAGUGGACUGAAGCUGGUGGAAAGCCCCACUGAGCAUCCUCUACUUGGAUUUCUCAGAGGGACCAAAGCAGCAGCAGCAGCAGCAGCAGCAGCAGCAGCAGCAGCAGCAGCAGCAGCAGCAGCAGCAGCAGGGGGUGAUCCCCUGACACUGCAGAAGUCUGGCCCCUCCUCUAGGACUGCGGGGAUGCCACACCUUGCCUCCCAACCUGAGCUUCUGAGUGUGAAGAGUCCUCACACUGCAGAUGUGCAGGGAAAGGGUGUGGGAGCUCAGGCUAUCCCCACCAGUCACAGGGAGGUGGGGGGGCAGGCACCCUGAACACUGCCUCUUCGCCCUCCUGUGCUGACAACACCCACUCUGGGAAGGCCACAGAGUGAGACUCCUAAUAUCUUGCAAAAAGUCAGAAUCUGAGGAUAAGCAACCCAACCACUCCCCACACUUUGAGCCAGGAAGGGGCACAGAUAUGGGAAACCAUAUCCUACCUCUUCACUGUGUCCCGUGUCAUAUUUCUCACUAAAUAGCUGUCCUGAUCACAUCAAAAACAAAAAACAAAAACAAAAACAAAAACAAAAAAACAAACAAACAAACAAACAAAAAAAAAAAACCUCAAUGGCUUCCCAGGGUCUAAGUAACUAAUACAGGAUCCUAGCAGUCUCUUACA